CCAAUAGCGUAUAUUAAAGUUGUUGCAGUUAAAAAGCUCGUAGUUGAAUUUCGGGAUCAAAUUGUCGGUCGUGCCUCGGUACGCACUGGUAUUAUUGGUUCCUACCUUCUGAAGAACCGCGAUGUCAUUAAUUUGGUGUCGUGGGGAAUCAGGACUGUUACUUUGAAAAAAUUAGAGUGUUUAAAGCAGGCUUACGUUUGAAUACAUUAGCAUGGAAUAAUGAAAUAGGACGUUUGAUUCUAUUUUGUUGGUUUCUAGGAUUGACGUAAUGAUUAAUAGGGAUAGUUGGGGGCAUUAGUAUUCAAUUGUCAGAGGUGAAAUUCUUGGAUUUAUUGAAGACUAACUACUGCGAAAGCAUUUGCCAAGGAUGUUUUCAUUAAUCAAGAACGAAAGUUAGGGGAUCGAAGACGAUCAGAUACCGUCGUAGUCUUAACCAUAAACUAUGCCGACUAGGGAUCGGAUGAUGUUAAUUUUUUAAUGACUCAUUCGGCGCCUUACG
rnacentral:rRNA from 1 species